UUCCCAAAAACGAUAUCAGAUUUCUCAAUCUCAGAAUCAAAUAUCUCUCUCAUCAUCUCUUUCAUCAACUCUCAUCAAAGAAUACUUAGAUCUGAAAAGUGCAUUAGGUUUGAAAUCAGAUCUCUCAUAAUCAAGUCUCUCUUUCAUCGUGUCUUCCUGCUCCGAUUGAUGACGAUGAACUUAGCCAAAUCGAACUCUUUAUUGUUUCUGAUCUAGGUAUUCUUCGGUGAGCUCUCUGGUUAGUAUCAAAUCUUUUUCAUCGUCUUUUUCUCCGACUUCGACGAAACAAGCUCAGAUCAGGAGAGCUUUAAAUCAAACUACUUCAGUGCAAAUUUGAGUUGUUGAGGCAAAGAUGUCUUUGGAUUAUAGCGAACCUAUUAUUGCUGAUGAUGCCGAGUUGGAUGACGAUGUAUCUCAAGGACCCACAAAGAAGAUUUGAAAAUUGACUUCAAAGGCAUGGAAUGACUUUGUCAAAUUUAAAGGACCUAAUAGAAAUGACAUAGCUAGAUGUAAGCAUUGCAAUAGGGAAUUUUUUUGGAAAGAGUAGGAAAGGGACUAGUCAUUUAAAAAAUCAUUUGUCGAAGACAUGUCCAAUACUUAAAAGACCAAAUGCCCUUAGGAAUGCUAGUAAGGCUACUUCUAAAUCUACUCCUAAGGCUGCAACUUUUAAAUUUGAUCAAGAGAGAAGUCGUAUGGAUUUUUCUAGGAUGGUAAUCAAGAAUAAUUAUCCUUUUAACAUGGCUGAGUAUGAAUUUUUUGAAAUAUUUUACAACAAUCUUCAACAAA